rnacentral:lncRNA from 1 species
GUGAAAUUUAUGCAUAAUCAAUGGAAUGGAGUUUUAAUAAUUUCUUUAAUUCAACUCUCGUAAUUUGAUAUAUUAAGUAUGAAAAUUGAGUAUGUGUAUCCAAGAAUUAAAACGCAGUCCAAUGAAUGUUGCUAAGUAACAUUUGUAUAUAAAGCCUCUCCGCAGUAUUUGUACGAGGCAUUCCAAUUAGAAAAACAACGAGACAAGAGAUGUACAAGACGUCCGUCUUAUUCAUAUGCUGUAUGGUAAUAUGUUAUAUUACGCCAACAAGUAAGUGAUGUAAAUUACGGUAAAAGUAUGAUGUUUCAAUUUAGAGGACAUAUAAGUAUUUUCAAUUAACAAUCUCGUUUUGUUUUUGUUGAGAAUUUAAGAAAAAUUAUAAUGAUAUUGGGAGGUUUUUUAAGGUGACAAUUAUAAGACGAAAUGUUGACUCAGUAACUCUAUCAAUAUAGUCGCUAAUACAUGGUCUGGUACUUAGCCACUGCAUAAUGGUAGAGUAUGUUAAGCCUUUUUUCAAGGUUUCAUAUGAAAAGCUUUCUGAAAGGUUGUCAAAUAAUCAUAGUAACUGGCAUAAUGAUACUGUUUGAAAGAAACCAAAUAUUAUAAUGUUAACGUUUCAAUUGCACGGAAACCUUUUCAGAACGUGUUCAAAAAUUGACCAAGGUAUUUUUCCCUCUGAUCUUUUUUGAGCUGAUUUGGUACAAAGUUAAACCAUCAAAUCAUGAAAUCUUCUGAUAGUGUUUCAACUACUAAGGAAUCAAAAAUUAUAUAAAGAUCCGACGUUUGAAUACCCAUAGGGGGGAAAUUGUACUCGGGGACGUAUUUUUCUUUUUUAAAAAAAAAUUUAAAAAAAAACAUCACAUUGAGAAAGACCAAGGUGAUAUUGAUAUGCAUUAAUAUAGAUAUCAAAAGUAAAAUUAAUGCACUUUCAAGUUAUGGCUAAAAUAGAUAAAGUUAAAAUAAAAAUGUAUGUAACAGUAUUUCUUUUUAAAGAUAACGAGUUUUAGACCGCAGUAUUAUAAAUAAAGAUACCAAGUUUUUUUUAUGAAGAUAUUAAACAAUUUCAAAUUAUGUUCCCGCAUAUAUUUGUCUUUCUAUAAAAACAAUGUAUAUGGCUACUUAAAGCUGUAUUAUGUGAUAUUAAAUUAAUGUAUGAUUUUUGUCCUAUGUUUUCAGAAGGGCAAUUCUUAUGGUUACUAAAUUCUGCAUUAGGUCAUAUUGAAUUAAUGUAUGAUAUGUCCUUUGUUUUCAGAAGGGCAAUGU